rnacentral:rRNA from 1 species
UACGUAGGGGGCAAGCGUUGUCCGGAUUUAUUGGGCGUAAAGAGCGUGUAGGCGGUCAGGUAGGUCCGUUGUGAAAACUCGAGGCUCAACCUCGAGACGCCGAUGGAAACCAUCUGACUAGAGUCCGGAAGAGGAGAGUGGAAUUCCUGGUGUAGCGGUGGAAUGCGCAGAUAUCAGGAGGAACACCGGUGGCGAAGGCGGGUCUCUGGGCCGUUACUGACGCUGAGGAGCGAAAGCGUGGGGAGCGAACAGG